rnacentral:rRNA from 1 species
AUUGAACGCUGGCGGCAUGCCUUACACAUGCAAGUCGAACGGCAGCACGGGGGGAAACUCCUGGUGGCGAGUGGCGAACGGGUGAGUAAUACAUCGGAACGUGCCCAGUAGUGGGGGAUAACCUCUCGAAAGAGAGGCUAAUACCGCAUACGACCUACGGGUGAAAGCGGGGGACCGCAAGGCCUCGCGCUAUUGGAGCGGCCGAUGUCGGAUUAGCUAGUUGGCGGGGUAAUGGCCCACCAAGGCGACGAUCCGUAGCUGGUCUGAGAGGACGAUCAGCCACACUGGAACUGAGACACGGUCCAGACUCCUACGGGAGGCAGCAGUGGGGAAUUCUGGACAAUGGGCGCAAGCCUGAUCCAGCCAUGCCGCGUGAGCGAAGAAGGCCUUCGGGUUGUAAAGCUCUUUCGGCGGGGACGAAACGGUCUGUGCUAAUACCACGGACUAAUGACGGUACCCGCAGAAGAAGCACCGGCUAACUACGUG